ACUAACCUGGCUGGCAGUAUAUAAGCAACAACCUGAAUUACAUGUAAACAGAAAGGGGUAAAUUCCAAGCACAUCCUAAAGGAGAAGUGCUACUCAUUUUCCGUAACCCAGAUGCCUUUUUAACCCAUCCAUGCAUGCUCCAUCUAAAACAGGGUACAGUUCCCAAAGGAGAAAACACUGCCCUCCAGUGGUCUUCAUUGGAAAAAAUGGAAAUAAUUUCAGGUGGAAACCAGGCUUCUUGGAAGAUUUCAAACUAUGCCAAAUGGUCUGAUUUUACCAUAGAGAUCUUUUGCUGAGGAAUGCAGCUGUAUUAGAGGAAGAAAACCAAGCUACAGUCCUUAGCAUUUAACAAGCAUUUUAAAGACAGUACCAAUUAAGAAUUUAAGCUGCUUUAACACAAGUUCUUGCCUUUCACUCCCACCCUGUGGCUUACACUGGUAUUACACUCAUUCUGACAUUUAAAAGUCAACAAUGAAAAGCAUGGUAAU